UACGAAGGGGGCUAGCGUUGCUCGGAAUCACUGGGCGUAAAGGGCGCGUAGGCGGAUCUUUAAGUCAGGGGUGAAAGCCUGAGGCUCAACCUCAGAAUUGCCUUCGAUACUGAAGAUCUCGAGACCGGAAGAGGUAAGUGGAACUGCGAGUGUAGAGGUGAAAUUCGUAGAUAUUCGCAAGAACACCAGUGGCGAAGGCGGACUUACUGGUCCGGUUCUGACGCUGAGGCGCGAAAGCGUGGGGAGCAAACAGG
rnacentral:rRNA from 1 species